rnacentral:rRNA from 1 species
AUUGAACGCUGGCGGCAGGCCUAACACAUGCAAGUCGAACGAGUGGCGGACGGGUGAGUAAUGCCUGGGAAACUGCCUGAUGGAGAGGGAUAACUACUGGAAACGGUAGCUUAUACCGCAUACCACCGGAUGUGCCCAGAUGGGAACAGUUAGUAGGUGGGGUAACGGCUCACCAAGGCGACGAGCCCUAGCUGGUAUGAGAGGAUGACCACCAACACUGGAACUUUGACACGGUCCGGACUCCUACGGGAGGCAGCAGGGGGGGAUAUUGCGACAUGGGCGCAAGCCUGAUGCAGCCAUGCCGCGUGUAUGAAGAAGGCCUACGGGUUGUAAAGUAGUUUCAGCGUGAAGGCGUUACCCGCAGAAGAUGCACCGGCUAAUUCCAUGCCAGCAGCCGCGUUAAUUC